AUGAAGGGCGGCGACAUCGAGGCGGGUGGCACCGGCACCGCGGCGCUCAAGGCCGCGCUGUACCCCGGGGCGACGGAGAGCACCGAGCUGCGCUGGGCGCUCAUCCGGAAGAUCUACGUCGUACUCUGCCUGCAGCUUCUCCUCACCGCCGUCGUUGCUGUUGUCGUGUACAAGGUCCGCCACUUCAUCGUCUCCUACGACGGCCUCGGGUUCUACAUCUUCCUCUUCAUCUUCCCCAUCACCGUGCUGUUCCCGCUGUUCAUCUACCGCAAGAAGCACCCAGUCAACCUGCUGCUGCUUGGCGUCUUCACAGUGGCCAUCACCUUCUCUGUGGGCUUCAUGCGUUCCUUUUAUAGUGGCAAGGUCAUUUGGGAGGCUGGGAUUCUUACAAUCGUGGUUGUCUUGAGCCUCACUGCUUACACCUUCUGGGCUGCAAGGAGGGGCAAGGACUUUAGCUUCCUUGGUCCUUUCCUAUUUGCUUCUCUGGUGAUUUUGCUCGUCUUUGGGUUCAUUCAGAUCUUCUUCCCGCUGGGCAAGCUCUCUCACAUGAUCAAUGGCGCGCUGGCGGCACUCAUCUUUAGUGGCUACAUUGUCUAUGACACGGGCAACAUCAUCAAGCGUUACACCUAUGACGAGUAUGUCUGGGCCGCCGUCACACUCUACCUUGACAUCAUGAUUCCAGCUGUGCCUGCCACCCUUCAUUGGGUGGAUGACAGCCAGGCGCGUCACCCUGCCCCUGCUCUCUCAUGA
rnacentral:rRNA from 1 species